AUUGAACGCUGGCGGCAGGCCUAACACAUGCAAGUCGAGCGGCAGCACUUCGGGUGGCGAGCGGCGAACGGGUGAGUAAUGCAUGGGAAUCUGCCUGAUAGUGGGGGAUAACUCUGGGAAACUAGAGGUAAUACCGCAUACGUCCUACGGGAGAAAGCGGGGGAUCUUCGGACCUCGCGCUAUCAGAGGAGCCCAUGUCCGAUUAGCUAGUUGGUGAGGUAAAGGCUCACCAAGGCGACGAUCGGUAACUGGUCUGAGAGGAUGGUCAGUCACACUGGAACUGAGACACGGUCCAGACUCCUACGGGAGGCAGCAGUGGGGAAUAUUGGACAAUGGGGGCAACCCUGAUCCAGCCAUGCCGCGUGUGUGAAGAAGGCCUCGGUUGGUUAAGACGACUUUAAGUACAGGGAGGAAGGGACGUCG
rnacentral:rRNA from 1 species